GCCGCCAGCAUGCUGUCACCUCUCAUAAUGGGUUUCUGGACAGUGUUGUUAACAAUUCAUGGCGUGUGUUUCUGUGUCGGAGGCAGGAGGGAGCUGAAAAGAUGCAGUUUUAUCUCCAAAGGAAAGACACUGAAACUGGACAUUGUAGAAGAUGAAUUAUGAGAGUGAUUUAUGAAAGAAAGACAGUGGAGAAUUGCAAUCGAUGGAGACAUUCAAAGAAAAGACUUUGGCACUACAUCAAAAGAGAGUAGAAUAAAUGACGAAACUAAAGCACAAAGAGAUUAAAGAACUUAUCCAAGGUCAUGCAGCUGGAAAGAAGUGGAUUUGGGAUUGUGAACAUCACAAUUUCACAAACUACAUUUCAUGAUGGGUAGAGCUAGUCAAACGUCUGAAAAUAAAGUUUGGUUUAAAGAUGACCAUCGUCUUGUUAAGAAAUUAUAUAAAUGAGUAUCACUAAAAAGUCUCUCUUUAAACUCACCAAGCACUCUUCACUAUGGACAAGAAAGUGUGAAUAUGGUUAUUUUUUAUUUAAUAUUUUCAUGAUGAUUAACUGAAGGAUCUGACAGUAAAUAGUCUUUGGGUCUUUUUAAACUAAAACUCCUGUUGUUGUUGAUAGCAAUUGAUGCAAUUGAUAGUAAUGUGCUGUAUCCCUCAGAUGUAUUCCAGCUGAAGAAGGUGGAGAGCCACUAAAAUUUAUUGUUCUAUGUCAUUUUUCCAAAUCAUCUUUUGAUGACUGUCCAUCUACAUAUUGCUCAGUGGCUUUAUAUUUAGAACAUUAUUUGGGAAAUUGUAAUUUCAAAUAUUUUAACCUAUAAAUAUUCAAUGAAGCCUUGGCAAUGAAGAGUAAGACUUUAUAAAACCUUGAAUAUAUGAAUAGCACAGUUCUGGUUAUCUAUGUAACAACAUCCCCCAUAGUAACCUAAAACAAUGACAUUACUAUAUCCCAUGAUUCUGUGGAUUGCCUGGGCUUAGGUGGUAAGUUCUCAGGGUGUUGCUCAUUGUCACACCCAGAUAGCAGCUAGAACUAGAGUCAUCUGCAAACUCCUUUUUCUUGUGUGGACCAUCCAAGGUAGGUUUCUCAUGCACAUAUCUAGUGCUUUGGUGCUUCUUGGCCUCUCUCUUUCCACAUUGUAUCUCAUCUUCCUGGCCUCUCCACAUGGCUUGGGCUUCUUGUUGCAUGGUGUUACGAGGUACUCACACUGCUAACACAGUAGCUGACUUUCAAGAUACACAAAUUGGACCCUUUUAGACCAAUUAAGGGCUAUGGUGAAACUGGAGCAGUAUCACUCUCAUUGUAUUCUAUUGGCCAAAGUAGCAGAGGGCCUGAUCAGACCCAAAGAGGUAGAGAAAUAGAUUCUACUUCUCAAUGGGGGAGUACCAAGUUCAUAUUGCACAAGGGGAUGUAGAAUGGGAACUAUUGUUGUUAUCAUUAGGUAAUACAGUCUGCCUAAAGUACUAUAUCACCUAAUUAGACUUGCUUUGCACAUGAUGACCAGGAGGAAACAAGAUACUGUUUUGGAAUGUACUCACUAAGCAGCUGCCUAGAUGCUGCUUACCUAACAAGUGCCUUGUUUCCACUCAAGGUCAUGGAUCUUUGGGAGUCUAAUAAGAGUGAUGAAAAAUUAUUCAUAGGUCUCCUUCCUUUACUAUACAAUCCUCGCUGCUAAGAGAAAGAUGGGCAAAGGACCUGGGAUGGAUAUCUUUGUGAAUCUAUCAAUAAUGGAUAAAAUAUCUCAUUUGUCUGCUUUCCUUAUUAUCUAAUUCUUCCCUCUUAGAGGAGUCUGAGCAAAGGAGCCUAGACUGGGUGUAUGGUGGAGAGUCAGUAACUAGGAGUAGAAUCUAAAUCAAAUCAAUAGUGUCCUAGUUAACCAAAUCAAAGAGUAAAUGUACAGAAACACAGGAAACCAUGCAGGGUAAUCAAGACUAAAAUUCUGGGUUAUAAGGAACAGCCUAAAACAAUUCUGAGUUGCAAAAUAAAUGGCACCAAUAAUCUUAUACUAAAUUUCAGAAUGUUAGGAUAGGCCUUAUUCUGCUUAAGAUCAGAAUUGGUUCAAGAUACUGGGUUGGAGUUGAACUAGAAGGUUGUAGGUUGGUAGCCCCAGCUAGAAGGAGAGGCCUAGGAGGAUGCCAAGGAGUAAUUGGUAAGUUGCAAAUGUUGAGUUCCUACCAUGGACUUCUGCAGCAAUUGGUGACUGAUUUGUUAGAUGUUGCAGAGAGACUCAAAACAACUAUCAAUCAUCCUGUUAAUUAAAAAUAUUCAUUGGAUUU
rnacentral:lncRNA from 1 species